AGUACUUAGAGAAAAUGUGAUAUUGAAAAGGGACCCUUUAUUUUUUUGAACAUGUAAGUGCUCAAAUCAGUGUAUAAGGAAAAAACUUGGAAGAAGCUAUAUGUCUGGCAUAUUUGUAUUUUUCAUGUUAGGCAGGUGCCUCAUGACUCUUCCAUAAGAAAUAAUCCUCCCUUCACUGAGGUGAAUUAUCAGAAAAAGAAAAGAAAAGAAAAAAAAAGAACUCUCUGAGGAGGCAGCAUUUGAGACCUGAAAGGAAGAAGGGAAACAACAAUAAAGAUGAAGGGGGAAGGGAACUCUAAGCAGAAGGAUCAGCACAAGGUGAGUCGCUGAGAUGGGGGUGUUCUCAGUAUGCUUGAAGAACAUCAGGGAUCAUCUGAAGGUUUUUAUACUGAGCAUCCAGAUGAAUGAAGUUGCCAUUUACAAAGAUGAGAAAGUCUAGAGGAGAACUGGUAUGGAGGGGAAAAUCAAGAAUUAGUUUGGGGCAUGUUAACUUUUACAUGGCCAUUGGACCGCCAAGUGGAAAUAUUGAGUUGCAGGCCAAGUUCUAGACUGGAGAUACAGAUUUGGCUGUCAUUGCCAUGGAGAUGGUGUUUAAAACCAUGAACCUGGAUACAGUUUCCUCAGGGGUGAAUAAGAAUACAAAGGACAUGUCACUGUAGUAUUUAGAGGUUGAGAAGGCUUGGAGGAGUCAACAAAAGAGACUGAGAAAAGGAGCCAGAAAGUCUGAAGGGCAUCAGAGUGUGUGGAGACUCAGAAGGUAAGUAAUGGGAGGGAGGAGUCACCUGAGAAGUCAAAAUGAAGACUGAAAGUUUGCCUUUAGUAUGGUACCCUGGAGGUUAUUAGGGGGCUUGAUAAGUAAGGAAGGGAAGACAGUAUGGUUCUUUUCCAGAAGAAUCUUACUAACAGGCAGUCAGGAAGACAGGUGGAAUCUAGGAAAUGGUGCAAAAGAUAUCUGUGCUUUCUCCUUCCACUUACCAUGUGUUAGGUGAUGCUGAUUUUAUCUUGAAUGGCAUAAAGGAAUUCUUCCUCCCUGGUGUCCCUCCCUCAUCUCUUUCUCUUUCUUCUUCAAUCUCCUCAGCCUCCAUAGCCCUCUGCUAUUUUUGCAGAGUUCUGCUGAUUCUUCUGCUCUUUCCCNNNNNNNNNNNNNNNNNNNNNNNNNAUUCCCCGCCCCCCCGCCCCUCCCUGAACCUGAAUAUAGAGACUUCAGGACAAAAUAUGUACAAUACAAACAAAUAUUUCUGUUGUUAAAAUUAACUACGUCUUAAAAAAUAUUAACUACUUUUUAUCACAAUCUCCUAUAUUAGUUUACUUUAAAAAUUUGUCUCAAUUUUAUUUUCCUGACCAAAGGAAAAAAAAAAAAAGUUCCUCUGUUAUUAGUUUCAUUUUUAAAUUUGCAGUUUAAACAUCCUAAACCCAGUAAUUUCGAUCCUCCUUUCCCUGCUUUUCAUAUUUUCUCUUUGCUACAGAUUUAUCACCUUCUAGCAUAUGCUACCAUAUACUUGUUAAUUGUGCUCCUUGUUUAUUUAUUUUCCUUUUUGCUAGAUAUAAACCCCAAAUGAGCAGUGAUUUGUUUCUGAUUUGCUCACUGACAUAUCCUAAAUGUUUAGUGUAAUGCCUGGAUUGUAGUAGAUGCUCAGGAAAUGGUUGCUGAAUAAAUGAGUGUUCUGGUCUAGUCUCCGGGAGUAGUAUGGGUUGUGUUGUGUUGCAGGGAGUAGAUGCCGAGGAAGGAAGCGUUAUCUCACCACAACUAAUUGGUAUUGGUAUUACUUGAUAUACAGAAUAUUCCUUUAUCCUUUCUCAUCUGCUCUGAAAACCGAACCCAGUUCCUUGAAUUAGAAGACAUGGCCUACUCUGUGAUAUCUCUGAAAGGAGUUAAGGUUUUUGCUGACCUCCAGCAUACAGGGUGUAGGAAAGGAUGGUGAUACAGAAAAACACAUCCUGGAAGAGCAGUACAGGCGCUCACAACCUUGCUUAGAUAAAAACCAGGACUAGAACACACCAACAUGGACAUGUAUGGAAGACCAAAGCCCAGAGAGAAGCCAAGGGUUCUUCCAUUAUGUCUCGGGGGUCCAGAAAAAUCAGCCUGCUGGCAACUCUUUUUACAAUUCUUUUAUGUUCCGAUGGAGGAGAAGCAAUGGAAAGACUGGCGGGUAAAUAAUAGCCAGAAUGUAGUCUCGGGGCAAACAGCCACCUUGAAAGUGUGGUGCUGGAGUGGCCAAAGAGAGCUUAGAUCUGUCUACAUAAGAACAGAGACAGGGGAGUGGUAGGGCCUUAUCCCUCUGUCUAAACCUACUUGAGGUUUACAGCUACUGCUUAUUCUUUGUCCCUUGCUUUGUGCUUACUUUUAGAUAGGAUUGGAGUGGUUUAUCCUUGCGUAGGCUACUAACUUCUGAGUUGUUGACCUGGAGCAGCCUGAGGCUUGGUUAGCUUUUGUUAGCAUUAACUGGGAUCUACUGGGGCCCCAUGCUCCUUUACCUUGUUUUCUUGUCAUUCCACACUGGAAAUGGAAGUACCUGCAGUCAUGAUGUGAAACAAAUGUGAGUCAGUUGUAGUUUGUAAGAAAAGUUCAGUAUUCAAGAUAUGAGUUCUAAGAAUAUUUUGAGUUUAAAAUACUGAUUUAAUAUUUUUCUUUACUAUUUGUGUAAUAUUUUCAUAUCUAUUUAUAUAGCUAUACAUAUAUAUGUAUAUGUCCUAAAACAUUUUAAAUGUUACAGAAAAGUUGCAUUUAUAAUACCAAGAGCUUUCCCCUGAACAAUGUGAUAUCCUAAAAACAAACGCAUUCUCCUGCAUCACCACGGUAUAAUCAUCAGAAUCAAACUGACCAUAUCAUCCUCACAUCCCAUUUAGAUGUCACCAGUUGUUCAGUAGUGCCCGGUAUAGCAAGAGGAUUCACUUCCCACAUUGCAUUUGGUUAUCAGGUCUCUAGUUUUCUUUAAUCUGUAACAGUUCCUAAGUCUUCCUUUACUUUUGUAAUGCCCCUCAAUAGGAGUUUGUCUGAAACUUCUGUAUUAGCUAUAUUUGCUUCUUUUGUAUAUUUUUGACGCUCUGGCACUUGGGACUGCCCCUCCCAGGGUUGGCCAAUUCUUAGAGAUAAAGAACUGCUUAGAGAAAGCAGUUCUCCCUGAGGGCAUGUUUUUCAUAGGCAAACCAACCUAUUUUGAGCCUGCAUCAGGCUCCACCUAGUACUGAGAAUCACCUCUUCUAUCUGGUUCUUAAACUAGAGGAGGCAAUAUUUCUCUUCCCUAAUCAUCCCAGAGCCUGGUGUAAGAAAACUAUAUAGAUAACUCCUAUACCUCAGAGCUUGCAGAAAUUACUUAAAUUUGCCAAUCCCAAACCUGCCUAUUAUUCCUUGCUUACCUUCCUUGAAAAGAUUCCUGCCCAUGCUUACCGUCUUGUUACCUCACCACCAACCAAUGAGAAGGCGGCCACAUACCCCUUCCCAGUGCUAUACAGCAGGAUCUCAUUGCUAAUCCAUUCCAAAGGCAAUAGUGUGCAUCUAUUAACUCCAAGCACCCCAUCCAUCCCACUCCCUUCCCCUCCCCCUUGGCAACCACAAGUCUAUUCUCCAAGUCCAUAAUUUUCUUUUCUGUGGAAACGCUAAUUUUUGCUAUAUAUUAGAUUCCGGAUAUAAGUGAUAUCAUAUGGUAUGUGCCCAUUUUAAAACUAAACACAGUCCAGGGGAAUUGGUAUAGGAUUAUUGCCUUUGCUAAUUACAGUUCGUUCUUUGGAACUGGAUCUGAGGUGUAGCUCCCUUGCAGUCCUGACUGGUGAUAGGAGGAUGGAUAUCUGGGGGAAGAAAGGAAAAAAGGUUUGAAAGGCCUUGAUUGUUGGGCCGGCCACUGGGGUCUCCUGAAAUGCCAUAUUAUGCUAAAGUCCUUUCCAGUUUUUUGUUAUUCAGUUCUCCCACUUGGAAUUUGCCUAAAGCCCUCAAGAAUGGAAUCAUGACUUUUUUUUUUUUUUUAACAUAUUUAUCCUUAGUGUGUACCACUAAGGUUAGAAACUAAGUAAAUAUCCAGAGAUAAUCAAGAAUUAAUAAUUCCUUAAUUGAAGUUUCCGUUAAUUGAAGUUUCCGUUGUGGCUCAGCAGAAAUGAACCCAACUAGAAUCCAUGAGGAUGCAGGUUUGAUCUCUGGCCUCACUCAGUGGGUUAAGAUCUGGCAUUGCCAUGAGCUCUGGUGUAGGUCAUGGUAGAUGCAACUUGGAUCUCUCAUUCCUGUGGCUGUAGUAUAGGCUGGUAGCUGCAUUUCUGAUUCAACCCCUAGCCUGGAAACUCCCAUAUGCCACGGGUGCAGCCCUAAAAAAAAAAAAAAAAAAAAAAAAAAAAAAAA
rnacentral:lncRNA from 1 species